GAACGGUAAGGCCCUUCGGGGUACACGAGUGGCGAACGGGUGAGUAACACGUGGGUAAUCUGCCCUGCAUUUCGGGAUAAGCCUGGGAAACUGGGUCUAAUACCGGAUAUUCAGAUUCUGCCGCAUGGUGGUUUCUGGAAAGUUUUUCGGUGCAGGAUGUGCCCGCGGCCUAUCAGCUUGUUGGUGGGGUAAUGGCCUACCAAGGCGACGACGGGUAGCCGGCCUGAGAGGGUGAUCGGCCACAUUGGGACUGAGACACGGCCCAGACUCCUACGGGAGGCAGCAGUGGGGAAUAUUGCACAAUGGGCGCAAGCCUGAUGCAGCGACGCCGCGUGAGGGAUGACGGUCUUCGGAUUGUAAACCUCUUUCAGUAGGGACGAAGCGAAAGUGACGGUACCUGCAGAAGAAGCACCGGCCAACUACGUGCCAGCAGCCGCGGUAAUACGUAGGGUGCGAGCGUUGUCCGGAAUUACUGGGCGUAAAGAGCUCGUAGGCGGUUUGUCACGUCGUCUGUGAAAUCCUACAGCUUAACUGUGGGCGUGCAGGCGAUACGGGCAGACUUGAGUACUACAGGGGAGACUGGAAUUCCUGGUGUAGCGGUGAAAUGCGCAGAUAUCAGGAGGAACACCGGUGGCGAAGGCGGGUCUCUGGGUAGUAACUGACGCUGAGGAGCGAAAGCAUGGGUAGCGAACAGGAUUAGAUACCCUGGUAGUCCAUGCCGUAAACGGUGGGCGCUAGGUGUGGGUUUC
rnacentral:rRNA from 1 species